UACGUAGGGGGCAAGCGUUGUCCGGAAUUAUUGGGCGUAAAGAGCGUGUAGGCGGCCAGAUAAGUCCGCUGUGAAAUCUCGAGGCUCAACUUCGAGCUGUCGGUGGAAACUAUCUGGCUAGAGUCCGGAAGAGGAGAAUGGAAUUCCUGGUGUAGCGGUGAAAUGCGCAGAUAUCAGGAAGAACACCCGUGGCGAAGGCGGCUCACUGGCCCGGUACUGACGCUGAGGCGCGAAAGCGUGGGGAGCAAACAGG
rnacentral:rRNA from 1 species